CAUUUGAGUAUCUUACUGUUUCAUUUAACGUAACUAGGUAACAACGUAUCUCAUACACAAGUAGGAUCUACUUCCAAAAGCGUAACAACACCAGUGUAUGUGUGUAACGACUUUUGACCAAUCAUCGUGUUUGUGUAUGUUUACAUCAAGUACAUUAGUAAGAUGAACAGAGUAUAGAGACGUCUUUUUUUCUCGGUAACUUGUGUUACAGUGCCUGAAAGUGCAAUACCGAUCUAGAAAAAUUCUGCCGAAUUUCGUACUUUGUGCCUAUAGUAUUCUGAUGCUAUAUUACGCUACAAAAUUUCUUUCAGUGUAUCUUUAUCGAUUGUUUGUGUUAGCGGUCUAUUUUCAGAAGAACUGACUUCGACCUUGAAGUUUCAAUCGUCGUAACCCACGACGGUUAAUACAAAAUUUUUUUGGCCCAAAGUUGUGUAGUAACUGUAGUCCUACUGCUCAAAUUGCUUUCAGCAAACAUGUUCAUGCAUCCAGAACUUUUGCAUGUUCAGACUUAUAAGAAUGACCGUAGUUGGGAUUUUUUUACUGUCAGUUUUACAGGUAGUUAUGAAUUAAAGUGACAGAAUGCAGGCUUGUGAACAGUACAAUCUGUUUUUGCAUUGGAUGUUUCUGACUUUGUGAAAUAGAAAGCCAAGGAAGAGAAGACAGAAGUAGCAUUGUAACUUAUGGGUGUGCCUAGCCUGCGAUAGGUGGCACGAAAACCACAUAUAUGUGUCAUAGAUCUCCGAUAUUCAAGUCUCAAUCAAAUGGCGAGAGGCUGCUGAAGUCGCAAGAAAGUAACAACGCACUGCUGCCAUGAACAUCAGCCAAAAUAAAAAGAGGAAUUUUACUAUUGUUUAUUUCAAGACACAUUUUAGCCACAAACGGAAUGAAUAUUGUUUCUGUGCACCUAACCAGAUAUUAAAAGGAGUUCAUUGCUGGUGAUAUUGACUUGUGAGAAGAAUGGCUGAUGAAGCCAGUUACAUCCUGGAACAAUGAAUCGUUAACGGAUUUCAUGAACAACUGCACCCUGGGAAAAAGUUGCUUCGCAAGCCAUCACGGGAAAUUAACAUCCCAUUAACGAGUUUACAACGACAUAUGCAAACAGAUUUCAACCUCCAUUAUAUGCACCAUGAACCGUGAGUCCGCGGUUUUAACUUCAGUUCAACAAUGAAUUAAGAAUUCAACAUUUCCAUUUGUCCCUUUUUCUACCUUCUCCUCCUUCCUUAAUGAAUCACUGGCAACAAUUGCAGUCGUUAUUGUCUGAAGCAGCAAACUGAGGUGCAGGUUGCCAGUCCACGCGCAUGCAAUCUUGUGACUGUAUUCUGUCAUCAGCUCUUCUGUACAUAGUGUAUUGCAGAAGAGUGGUGGAUGAUAAGCAGUUGUUGAAAUGGCUGGAUGAAGAGUUUGCUAACAAAGUUUGUAGUGAUGCAGAGUCAAUCUUCGAAACUGAUCACAAUUCUGAAAGUGAGCAGUUUCUGGACAUAAAUGACAUUAUCGAUAAAUUUGACUCACAUGUUGGGAAAGGUGGUAUGCAGGGCAGUCAUCGACCUCCGAUUCAAAACAGAUGAAAGCUCAAAUGAGAAUGAUGCUGUGGGACCUUCCACAGGUAGUGGAAUACAUAUCACAGAGCAGAGUGAUACAGACUUUGCAGAAGAAACAGACUUGGUAGUUGAAGAACCGUCACAAGCAACAACAUUGAGUGCAAACAGAGAGUACUACAUCAAGAUAUGCUACACCAAGGAAAAGAAAGUGAAGUGAAAAAGGGAGCUAUUAAAGUGCCCUUCAGUUGAUUGCUGAAAGACUGCAGUCCAAUACUAAUGUUGAUGCAGAUACAUUUGUUAAACAUUUGGGUGUAGAAAUGAAAGCCAUUAAAAGCCAUGAAAUGAGGAUGAUGAUUAACCGCAAAUACUAAAACUUGUGUAUGAUGCUGUAGUCAGUCAAUAAACAUGGAAAUUUCAUAUG